ACAAGCAUACCCAAAAAUAUAUUAAAUAAUAAAAAUUUAUCAAAUCUGAUCUAAAAUUGGAAACCCCCAAAAUUUAAUUUAAAACUCGAAUUAUUUAGUUACCGUUUAAACUUUUAGAGCAGCCAAUAGUACACAUUAGCAUACAAGAUCAACCAAUAAAGAAGCUUUUCGAGAAGUAUCAUAAACGUGUGUUUUUUGGAUUUAAAGAUUUUUGGUUUCUUAUAAAUAGUGAGCAAUCCACUUUUGAUCUUCAUAAACAAAUUUCUACUUCCCAAGAUUGUAUCUUCGACUUCUAAAACAAAACAUUUAAUUUUUCAAAAUGGUGGCCAUUAAGAAGACAACUUUUUUCCUUUUAUUCAUUGCCAUUGCAAUGAUCUUUGCUAGUGGAGUGUCUGCUGAUAGAGUUCCAGCAUGUGACGAGGUAUGCGGUCGUAUAAACCGUGAGAAGGAUUCAUGUUGUCAAGCUCAUGGAUACUCCUAUUCUACAGGAUGCCGCGGUGGAAUGCAGUGUGCGUGAAAACUUUCUUUAUUUUUAAAAACUAUUAAUCAUUGUAUACAAUAAAUAUUUAAAUUCAUAAAAAUAAA